rnacentral:rRNA from 1 species
UAACCCCUACGGGGGGCAGCAGUGGGGAAUAUUGCACAAUGGGGGAAACCCUGAUGCAGCAACGCCGCGUGAGUGAAGAAGUAUUUCGGUAUGUAAAGCUCUAUCAGCAGGGAAGAGAAUGACGGUACCUGACUAAGAAGCCCCGGCUAACUACGUGCCAGCAGCCGCGGUAAUACGUAGGGGGCAAGCGUUAUCCGGAUUUACUGGGUGUAAAGGGAGCGUAGACGGCUGUACAAGUCUGAAGUGAAAGCCCGUGGC